UCCGGUUUGGCACCGGCAGUCUUCCCAGAGUCCCCGCCAUGACGCGCUGGUAACUGAGAACGGGGGUUGCGCUCGUUGCGGGACUUAACCCAACAUCUCACGACACGAGCUGACGACAGCCAUGCAGCACCUGUAACCGAACUCCGAAGAGGGGCCUCCAUUUCGGGAGGCUUUCUCGGCUAUGCCAAGCCUAGGUAAGGUUCUUCGCGUUGCGUCGAAUUAAACCACAUGCUCCACCGCUUGUGCGGGCCCCCGUCAAUUCCUUUGAGUUUCAGCCUUGCGGCCGUACUCCCCAGGCGGGGCACUUAAUGCGUUAGCUUCGGCACGGAGGGAGUCGACACCCCCCACACCUAGUGCCCAUCGUUUACAGCGUGGACUAC
rnacentral:misc_RNA from 1 species